UUGAUUAUGACGUGCUUGCACUGAAUGAGAUUUUAACACGAAGUGAGUGGCGGACGGGUGAGUAACACGUGGGUAACCUGCCCAGAAGCAGGGGAUAACACCUGGAAACAGAUGCUAAUACCGUAUAACAGAGAAAACCGCCUGGUUUUCUUUUAAAAGAUGGCUCUGCUAUCACUUCUGGAUGGACCCGCGGCGCAUUAGCUAGUUGGUGAGGUAACGGCUCACCAAGGCGAUGAUGCGUAGCCGACCUGAGAGGGUAAUCGGCCACAUUGGGACUGAGACACGGCCCACACUCCUACGGGAGGCAGCAGUAGGGAAUCUUCCACAAUGGACGCAAGUCUGAUGGAGCAACGCCGCGUGAGUGAAGAAGGGUUUCGGCUCGUAAAGCUCUGUUGUUAAAGAAGAACGUGGGUGAGAGUAACUGUUCACCCAGUGACGGUAUUUAACCAGAAAGCCACGGCUAACUACGUGCCAGCAGCCGCGGUAAUACGUAGGUGGCAAGCGUUAUCCGGAUUUAUUGGGCGUAAAGCGAGCGCAGGCGGUCUUUUAAGUCUAAUGUGAAAGCCUUCGGCUCACCCGAAGAAGUGCAUUGGAAACUGGGAGACUUGAGUGCAGAAGAGGACAGUGGAACUCCAUGUGUAGCGGUGAAAUGCGUAGAUAUAUGGAAGAACACCAGUGGCGAAGGCGGCUGUCUGGUCUGUAACUGACGCUGAGGCUCGAAGCAUGGGUAGCGAACAGGAUAGAUACCCUGGUAGUCAUGCCGUAACGAUGAUUACUAGUGUUGGAGGGUUCCGCCCUUCAGUGCUGCAGCUAACGCAUUAAGUACUCCGCCCGGGGAGUACGACCGCAGGUUGAACUCAAAAGAUUGAGGGGGCCGCACAGCGGGGAGCUGUGUUUAUU
rnacentral:rRNA from 1 species